UUGGAUGGUCGUUAGAGAAAAGGAUAAAGAGUGUGCAAAAUUGGUAUAUAAAGAACAUGCAGUGAACAUUUUAAAGACAAAGGAUAGAGUGAAAUUUUGUGUAUUAAUAAACGACAAGCUGUGUAAUUAACUCAAGAAAGAUUCUUAAACUUUGAAUAUGCCUUUUUAUUUUUGAAUCUUACGUAAUUUGUUUCAAAAACAGAAAAACCGAACCGAACCGUUGCUAAAAUCGUGAUGGGGUAUGGUAUUGGACCCGACCCAAAUGAUCGGAUAUUUUCAUUACUUAUUGCCUUUUAUUGUUUUGUUAUUUAUUAUUACGUACUAACCCGCGAAGUCCAACGCGAUAUAGUUUACACUACACUAGGUUGUGGGCUUGUAGAGACAACCCCUAACUGGGCCUGACCCAUUGAGGUUAGGGUUGCCCAUGUCUCCUAUAUAAGGAGGUCUUCAUCUCAUUAUUAGGGCAAGAGAUAUAGAGCAACACACUUUUUGUAGCUAGAAAAAUGGAAUCCUUUCCCUACUGGCUGUCUCUACAUUCCCACUUUCCUUUUUUUUUCUUUCUUUUUUUUUUUUUUUUUUUUUGCAGAUCUGGAUUCGAAGAGAAGAAGCAAGUUGUGAUUCUCCAUCCUCUCAGAGAAAGCGGUUCGACUCCGUGUUUCUUCAGCGGCGCCCACCGUAUCAAAAUCUAGAUUCAAGAAUCACAACUCGUUUCUUCUCCACUUCACCUUUCAGAUUUGUUUCUUUUUUUAGUUUACUCAUGAUUCUCGAUCUGAAACUCCAGAUCUAGUUUUUCCUUUAAUAUAUAUAUAUAUAUGGGUGGGAGUUGGCUACAAAGUCUAUUUUUCCUACAAAGUGUAAAAAGUCAUAAAUCACCAUAAUGUCAACCAUAAAACACACUCAAAACCUACAAAUAACAUAGUAGAGAUUACUAAAACACCAAAUUUGUGGGUUUGUGAUGUGUUUUGGAUGACAAGGCUCUAAUUAUCAAAUGACUAAUAUUAGUGUGGUUUAUUUUAAUUAUCAUGUUGUGUUUUGUAUUCAUAGUUGUACGAUGGUGUGUUUGAAGUUUUUAAGGACUAUUAAGGUUUGGAUAUUGUGUUUUAGUGAUCUUCACUAUGCUAUUUGUUGGUUGUGAGUGUGUUUUAUGGAUGAAAUUGUGGUGUUUUAUGACUUUGUACACUUUGUAGGAAAAAUGGACUUUGUAGCCGACCCUCACCCAUAUAUAUAUAUAUGAUCGUUCAUGAUUGAGAACUGCUCUUUCAUAUGAAAAUAUAGAUUCAAAAAACAGUCGUUUCAUCGCAUCUCUUUGUAUCUUUAAUUAUCAUAAAUAUUAAAGAGCAGCAAACAUAUCUUUGUUGAAGAAAUUCGUACACCAUCCUUUUAAAAAACAGAAAAGAACAAACAAGAAGAGGAGUAAUAUAUAGCUGGCAAGGUACAAUUCAUAGUACACAAGGUAUGGUCUCAAUUGCGUAUACUUCCUUUAAGGGGGCACAUCCUGACAUGGGCAGACAAAAGAUGUACUAGUGGUCCCCAUCCGAACGAUUUUCAAAAACCGAAAACCGAACUUUUGGUUGGUGGUACUUAUUCUCCUGAACUCAGCAGCAACAUCAUAAAACAUUAAUCCAUCCAGCAUCUCUAGCAGCAUUAUAAAUGCGCCUAUCAAUAAAAACAACAAUUUGUAAAACCAAUAUAUUCUAGAGCGGAAAAAAAAAGUGUAUCAAUCCACAUACCUAUCAUAUAUGGAUGAGAAACGAGUUCUACGAAUUUUGAGAUAAGGAUUCACUUCUCUACAGACUUCUGCAACUUCGUUAGCAAUAUAUUCCCCUUCAAUAUCGCAGUCUAGCCACAGAAUGAGUGUAACAGGCUCGGAUUCAUUGUGACUUAUGAUAUAAUGUGUUUUCAAGCUUCCAACACUCGGAUUCAUUGUGGAGCAAUGUGAAGAGAAAGAAUCAAGUUUGGAAGAUUAAGUGCACACAUAAAAUUGUUGAUGGCACCACAAAGUUUAGCAUGGAUGUGUCUGAUUCUCAAGAGGCGACAUCAAUUUAUAAUUCUUGUAUCCAAAACUCUCGUGCACGCGUCAAACCUACGUUGACGUUACGGAUAAUAGUAUAUUGAAUCCAAAACCUUUAACCACUUUUGAUCUUCUACGAUUAGCAUCGCUUCAUUUAGAGAUGAAUGAAUGUUGAACGGACUAUGCAGGUUGCACAAGAUCUUUACGAGGCUGGUUUCAUAAGCUAUCCCCGUACCAGGGACAAUGUUUGUGAAGUAGAAGAGUUCGAUAUAAAAGUGAGUAUAUUUUUCAUCAAAUUAAACCAUCAUUCAUUCUUUGUACGGUAGUGUUAUCGCUGUCAUCAAAGUCUUCGCCUAGGCUCUCUAAACGACCAUUCUGGGUAGUGCUAUCACUGUUGAAAUCUUACUUUUAUACAUUUUUUGAA